rnacentral:lncRNA from 1 species
UGCUUGAUGAAGUCAGGUGGAAGGUGCAUCUGGGCAAUGGACUUGCACUUCUUAAAGCCCACAAAGAAUGCUUCCUUGCAAGCUUGGGCUAUGAUCUUAGCUCCUUCCUUCUCUAGCUGCUUUCUUCUGCUUUCAGCGUAUUUGAGUAAAAUCCUUUGAUCUAUAAAUUUAUCCUAGAGAAGCUUAUGGUUGACCUUUCUCUCUUCCAACAUCUUCUUUAGAUGCUCCACCUCC